rnacentral:rRNA from 1 species
GACGAACGCUGGCGGCGUGCCUAAUACAUGCCAGUAGAACGCACAGUUUAUACCGUAGCUUGCUACACCAUAGACUGUGAGUUGCGAACGGGUGAGUAACGCGUAGGUAACCUGCCUGGUAGCGGGGGAUAACUAUUGGAAACGAUAGCUAAUACCGCAUAAUAUUAAUUAUUGCAUGAUAAUUAAUUGAAAGGUGCAAUUGCACCACUACCAGAUGGACCUGCGUUGUAUUAGCUAGUAGGUGAGGUAACGGCUCACCUAGGCGACGAUACAUAGCCGACCUGAGAGGGUGAUCGGCCACACUGGGACUGAGACACGGCCCAGACUCCUACGGGAGGCAGCAGUAGGGAAUCUUCGGCAAUGGACGAAAGUCUGACCGAGCAACGCCGCGUGAGUGAAGAAGGUUUUCGGAUCGUAAUGCUCUGUUGUAAGAGAAGAACGGGUGUGAGAGUGGAAAGUUCACACUGUGACGGUAUCUUACCAGAAAGGGACGGCUAACUACGUG